GACGAACGCUGGCGGCGUGCUUAACACAUGCAAGUCGAACGGAAAGGCCUGCUUUCCCUUGUGGAUUGCGGGUACUCGAGUGGCGAACGGGUGAGUAACACGUGAGUUAUCUGCCCCCAACUUGGGUAUAAGCCUGGGAAACUGGGUCUAAUUCCCGAUAGGACUGCAGGGUGGUUCCUGUGGUGGAAAACGAUUUUCUAGUGGUUGGGGAUGAGCUCGCGGCCUAUCGGCUUGUUGGUGGGGUAAUGGCCUACCAAGGCGGCGACGGGUAGCCGGCCUGGGGGGGUGGACGGCCAAAUUGGGACUGAGAUACGGCCAAGACUCCUACGGGAGGCAGCAGUGGGGAAUAUUGCACAAUGGGCGGAAGCCUGAUGCAGCGACGCCGCGUGGGGGAUGACGGCCUUCGGGUUGUAAACUCCUUUCGACCGCGAGGAAGCCACCUGGUUGGAAGGGUGGUGACGGUAGUGGUAGAAGAAGCACCGGCUAACUACGUG
rnacentral:rRNA from 1 species